rnacentral:rRNA from 1 species
GACGAACGCUGGCGGCGUGCUAAUACAUGCAAGUAGGACGCACAGUUUAUACCGUAGCUUGCUACACCAUAGACUGUGAGUUGCGAACGGGUGAGUAACGCGUAGGUAACCUGCCUAUUAGAGGGGGAUAACUAUUGGAAACGAUAGCUAAUACCGCAUAACAGUAUGUAACACAUGUUAGAUGCUUGAAAGAUGCAAUUGCAUCGCUAGUAGAUGGACCUGCGUUGUAUUAGCUAGUAGGUAGGGUAAAGGCCUACCUAGGCAACGAUACAUAGCCGACCUGAGAGGGUGAUCGGCCACACUGGGACUGAGACACGGCCCAGACUCCUACGGGAGGCAGCAGUAGGGAAUCUUCGGCAAUGGGGGGAACCCUGA